rnacentral:rRNA from 1 species
UACGGAGGGUGCAAGCGUUAUCCGGAUUCACUGGGUUUAAAGGGUGCGUAGGUGGGCAGGUAAGCCAGAUGUGAAAUCCCCGGGCUUAACCUGGGAAUGGCAUUUGGGACUGCAAGGCUUGAGUGCGGCAGAGGAGACUGGAAUUCCUGGUGUAGCAGUGAAAUGCGUAGAUAUCAGGAGGAACACCGAUGGCGAAGGCAGGUCUCUGGGCUGACACUGACGCUCAUGCACGAAAGCGUGGGGAGCAAACAGG